rnacentral:rRNA from 1 species
CCUACGGGAGGCAGCAGUGAGGAAUAUUGGUCAAUGGCCGUAAGGCUGAACCAGCCAAGUCGCGUGAAGGAAGAAUGAUCUAUGGUUUGUAAACUUCUUUUAUAGGGGAAUAAAGGUAUCCACGUGUGGAUAUUUGCAUGUACCCUAUGAAUAAGCAUCGGCUAAUUCCGUGCCAGCAGCCGCGGUAAUCCGGAGGAUGCGAGCGUUAUCCGGAUUUAUUGGGUUUAAAGGGUGCGUAGGUUGUUUUUUAAGUCAGCGGUGAAAGUUUGUGGCUCAACCAUAAAAUUGCCGUGGAAACUGGAAGACGUGAGUGUGUUUGAGGUAGGCGGAAUGCGUGGUGUAGCGGUGAAAUGCAUAGAUAUCACGCAGAACUCCGAUUGCGAAGGCAGCUUACUAAGCCAUAACUGACACUGAAGCACGAAAGCGUGGGGAUCAAACAGGAUUAGAUACCCUUGUAGUC